rnacentral:rRNA from 1 species
GCCAAGACUAGCCCCAAAGCAUAAUCAACACUAAUAACAAGUCAACACACACUAAACCAUUUACCUUCACAAAGUAUAGGCGAUAGAAAUUUUAAUCUGGCGCUAUAGAUACAGUACCGUAAGGGAAAGAUAGAAAACCACCCAAGCACAAAACAGCAAGGGCUAACCCCUGUACCUUUCGCAUAAUGGAUUAGCUAGAAACAAUUUUACGAAGAGAACUACAAGCCAAAUUCCCCGAAACCAGACGAGCUACCCAAAAACAGCUAAAAGAGCGCACCCGUCUAUGUGGCAAAAUAGUGGGAGGAUUUUUGGGUAGAGGUGACAAGCCUACCGAGCCUGGUGAUAGCUGGUUAUCCAAGACAGAAUCUUAGUUCAACCUUAAGCUUACCUGCAGAACAACCUAAUCCCCCUGUAAGCUUAAUUGCUAGUCUAAAGAGGGACAGCUCUUUAGACACUAGGAAAAAACCUUGCAGAGAGAGUAAAAACCCCAACUACCAUAGUUGGCCUAAAAGCAGCCAUCAAUUAAGAAAGCGUUCAAGCUCAACAUCAACCACCUCAAAAAUACCAAACACAUAACUGAACUCCUCACACCACAUUGGAUUAAUCUAUCACCAUAUAGAAGCAAUAAUGCUAGUAUAAGUAACAUGAAUAUUUUCUCCACCGCAUAAGCCUAAAUCGGACCGAAAGUCUCACCGAUACUUAACAGCCAGGCAUAACAAACACAAACAAGCCCAUGCCACCUUCACUGUUAACCCAACACAGGCAUGCCUCAAGGAAAGGUUAAAAAAAGUAAAAGGAACUCGGCAAACUCAAACCCCGCCUGUUUACCAAAAACAUCACCUCUAGCAUUACUAGUAUUAGAGGCACUGCCUGCCCGGUGACACACGUUUAACGGCCGCGGUACCCUGAC